GCGAGUCUGAAUAGGGCGUUUAGUAUUUGGUCGUAGACCCGAAACCAGGUGAUCUACCCUUGGUCAGGUUGAAGUUCAGGUAACACUGAAUGGAGGACCGAACCGACUUACGUUGAAAAGUGAGCGGAUGAACUGAGGGUAGCGGAGAAAUUCCAAUCGAACCUGGAGAUAGCUGGUUCUCUCCGAAAUAGCUUUAGGGCUAGCCUCAAGUGAUGAUUAUUGGAGGUAGAGCACUGUUUGGACGAGGGGCCCCUCUCGGGUUACCGAAUUCAGACAAACUCCGAAUGCCAAUUAAUUUAACUUGGGAGUCAGAACAUGGGUGAUAAGGUCCGUGUUCGAAAGGGAAACAGCCCAGACCACCAGCUAAGGUCCCAAAAUAUAUGUUAAGUGGAAAAGGAUGUGGCGUUGCCCAGACAACUAGGAUGUUGGCUUAGAAGCAGCCAUCAUUUAAAGAGUGCGUAAUAGCUCACUAGUCGAGUGACACUGCGCCGAAAAUGUACCGGGGCUAAACAUAUUACCGAAGCUGUGGAUUGUCCUUUGGACAAUGGUAGGAGAGCGUUCUAAGGGCGUUGAAGCAUGAUCGUAAGGACAUGUGGAGCGCUUAGAAGUGAGAAUGCCGG
rnacentral:rRNA from 1 species